GCCCUACUCAGGACUGCAACUGGAGAGUUUCUAGUCCUCUACUAGCCUCAGCUACGGGAGGAAGAGUCGAGCAGAGGCCUACCCAUUCCAUUCCUAGCGUGGGCAGUGGCUGGCGAGUGGAAGACACUUUGCUACACGU